CAAUAUUAGAGUGGCGCACGGGUGAGUAACACGUAGCUAAUCUACCUCAAAGCGCGGGAUAACGUGUCGAAAGACAGGCUAAUACCGCAUAAGCUCGCGAUCUGUAGAGGGUUGCGAGAAAAGGCGCAAGUCACUUUGAGAUGAGGCUGCGGCCCAUCAGCUAGUUGGGGUGGUAAAAGCACACCAAGGCGACGACGGGUAGGGGACCUGAGAGGGUGACCCCCCACACUGGGACUGAGACACGGCCCAGACUCCUACGGGAGGCAGCAGUGAGGAAUAUUGCACAAUGGGCGCAAGCCUGAUGCAGCGACGCCGCGUGGGUGAAGAAGGUUUUCGGAUCGUAAAACCCUUUUCUGUGUGACGAGCAAGGACGGUAGCACAGGAAUAAGUCUCGGCUAACUACGUGCCAGCAGCCGCGGUAAAACGUAGGAGACAAACGUUAUCCGGAGUUACUGGGCGUAAAGGGCGUGUAGGUGGUUUCGUAAGUCUGGCGUGAAAUUUUUCGGCUUAACCGGGAAAGGUCGUCGGAUACUGCGGAGCUAGAGGACGGUAGAGGCGUGUGGAAUUCCGGGUGUAGUGGUGAAAUGCGUAGAGAUCCGGAGGAACACCAGUGGCGAAGGCGACACGCUGGGCCGUACCUGACACUGAUGCGCGACAGCAUGGGGAGCAAACAGGAUUAGAAACCCUGGUAGUCCAUGCCGUAAACGAUGCUAGCUGGGUGUUCAGGGGGGGAAACCCCUCGGGGUACCGAAGUCAACACGGUAAGCUAGCCGCCUGGGGAGUACGGUCGCAAGAUUAAAACUC
rnacentral:rRNA from 1 species